UUAAAGGAAGUGACGGGGAGCACUACGAACGGUGGAGCCUGCGGUUUAAUUGGAUCAACGCCGGAAUCUCACCGGGGCGACAGCAAUAUGAAGGUCAGGCUGAAGACCUUACCCGAUUAGCUGAGAGGUGGUGCAUGGCCGUCGUCAGUUCGUACUGUGAAGCAUCCUGUUAAGUCAGGCAACGAGCGAGACCCACGUCCACAGUUGCCAGCAUACCCUCCGGGGUGAUGGGUACACUGUGGAGACCGCCGCUGCUAAAGCGGAGGAAGGAGUGGGCAACGGUAGGUCAGUAUGCCCCGAAUCUCCCGGGCUACACGCGGGCUACAAUGGUUGGUACAAUGGGCAUCUACCCCGAAAGGGGAAGGAAAUCUCUUAAAGCCAAUCGUAGUUCGGAUUGAGGGCUGCAACUCGCCCUCAUGAAGCUGGAAUCCGUAGUAAUCGCGUUUCAACAGAACGCGGUGAAUACGUCCCUGCUCCUU
rnacentral:rRNA from 1 species